rnacentral:rRNA from 1 species
UACGGGGGGGGCAAGCGUUGUUCGGAAUUACUGGGCGUAAAGGGCGCGUAGGCGGCCUUCUAAGUCGGACGUGAAAUCCCCAGGCUUAACCUGGGAACUGCGUCGGAUACUGGAUGGCUUGAAUUCGGGAGAGGGAUGCAGAAUUCCAGGUGUAGCGGUGAAAUGCGUAGAUAUCUGGAGGAAUACCGGUGGCGAAGGCGGCAUCCUGGACCGACAUUGACGCUGAGGAGCGAAAGCUAGGGGAGCAAACGGG